rnacentral:rRNA from 1 species
GAACCCUGCUCGGCGGCGGUCAACAUUUUCCCAGCGGUAGAUGAGAAGCUUGCUUCUCUUGAGAGCGGCGACGGGUGAGUUAUGCCUAGGAAUCUGCCUGGUAGUGGGGGAUAACGCUCGGAAACGGACGCUAAUACCGCAUACGUCCUACGGGAGAAAGCAGGGGACCUUCGGGCCUUGCGCUAUCAGAUGAGCCUAGGUCGGAUUAGACUAGUUGGUGAGGUAAUGGCUCCACCAAGGCGACGAUCCGUAACUGGUCUGAGAGGAUGAUCCAGUCACCACUGGAACUGAGUACACGAGUCCAGACUCCUACGGAGAGGCAGCACGUGGUGGAAUAUUGGACAAUGGGCGAAAGCCUGAUCCAGCCAUGCCGCGUGUGUGAAGAAGGUCUUCGGAUUGUAAAGCACUUUAAGUUGGGAGGAAGGGCAUUAACCUAAUCACGUUGGUGUCUUGACGUUACCGACAGAAUACAGCACCGGCUAACUCUUGUGCCAGCAGCCGCGGUAAUACAGAGGGUGCAAGCGUUAAUCGGAAUUACUGGGCGUAAAGCGCGCGUAGGUGGUUCGUUUAAAUUGGAUGUGAAAUCCCCGGGCUCAACCUGGGAACUGCAUUCAAAACUGACGAGCUAGAGUAUGGUAGAGGGUGGUGGAAUUUCCUGUGUAGCGGUGAAAUGCGUAGAUAUAGGAAGGAACACCAGUGGCGAAGGCGACCACCUGGACUGAUACUGACACUGAGGUGCGAAAGCGUGGGGAGCAAACAGGAUUAGAUACCCUGGUAGUCCACGCCGUAAACGAUGUCAACUAGCCGCUUGGGAGCCUUGAGCUCUUAGUGGCGCACCUAACGCAUUAAUUGACGCUGGGGAGUACGCC